rnacentral:misc_RNA from 1 species
UACGUAGGGUGCAGGCGUUAAUCGGAAUUACUGGGCGUAAAGCGUGCGCAGGCGGUUUGCUAAGACAGGUGUGAAAUCCCCGGGCUUAACCUGGGAACUGCGCUUGUAACUGGCAGGCUGGAGUGUGGCAGAGGGGGGUGGAAUUCCACGUGUAGCAGUGAAAUGCGUAGAGAUGUGGAGGAACACCGAUGGCGAAGGCAGCCCCCUGGGCUAACACUGACGCUCAUGCACGAAAGCGUGGGGAGCAAACAGG